AUACGGAGGGUGCAAGCGUUAAUCGGAAUUACUGGGCGUAAAGCGCGCGUAGGCGGUUUAGUAAGUCGGAUGUGAAAGCCCAGGGCUCAACCUUGGAAUUGCAUUCGAUACUGCUUAACUAGAGUAUGGUAGAGGGAAGUGGAAUUUCCGGUGUAGCGGUGAAAUGCGUAGAUAUCGGAAGGAACACCAGUGGCGAAGGCGACUUCCUGGGCCAAUCCUGACGCUGAGGUGCGAAAGCGUGGGGAGCAAACAGGAUUAGAAACCCGUGUAGUCC
rnacentral:rRNA from 1 species